rnacentral:sRNA from 1 species
GGACUUGCAUCAUUUAUCACUUUAGUGUUCACACCAUAUGCAGAGUUCAGAACUGAUCCAAAGUGCCAGCGCUACAUCGGUGCUGUGUGUGGCCUAGGCUAUGAUGAUGAGAACCUCUCUGUCUUACCUGAUCAUGAUAUUGAGCUGACCUUUGAGACUGAGUUCACAACUGAAGACAUUGUGAUGAUUAAUGAGGUGCGUAUGGCCAUUAACAUUGCGCUAGGAACUGAGGAUACCAUGGCAACCUUUGGUCAGGAUGUCUUUGUCAGAAUACAAGAAAAAGCUAGAGAGAAAAUAUUAAUGUUAUUGAAAAAACAAAGAGAACCAGUGCAGCCUGACAACUUUAUUAAACCAUAUACAUGGAAUCUGGUCAGUU